GAUACGGGAAUGGGGUGGGGACAACUGCAUAAAAGUGAAAGCGGCAAACUUCCGUGUAAGUUUGCGUCAUAAGGAAACGUACGACUCCAACACAACCAAGGACUGAAGUUUCCCGUGGUUGUUUUACAUGAUGGAAGGUGAUUCACCUUCAAUAACAUGUAGCGAUGAAUAUCGACUGCUUCGAACAUACUGCCUGAAGAGGAGAAAGUCAAGCACCAAAAAAGGUGCCUGUAUGUACUACGCACAAUCAGCUGAGAUAUUUGGUGAUGUGGCUGAAAAACUGACCCGGAUUGUAGACAGCGGACUUCUUAAAGAUGAUGAUGGUGAAAUAGAGGCAGAUUCUGUUAACGGCGAUGUUAUAGAGAAGCUUGUUGACUUACUGAAGAAAUCAGGGGAUGACUUAAAUGACAAGAUUCAGAAGAACCAUGAGCUUGUAGGAUACCUGCAGAGUACUUUCUCCUACGACUUGUUUGAAAAACUGACCACGGCCUUCAUCAAAAGUGUGGUACCAGAAUAUCUUCAGAGCAGAAGCAACCAUGAGCAGAUCGCCCUGACCUUUGAGGUCACCAGCAGGCUCCAAGCCUUGGACCUUCACCCCAUGAACAGGGUCAUGGGAUUCGGAGCUCACUACCUGCAAAAGUACUUCGCUCCCUGGGUUAAACAACACGGUGGAUGGGAGAAAGCCUUUGACGAUGAUGAGGAGGUCCAUUGACAAGAUUUACUGUGAAAUGGAUGGUUAUUAGUAAUUUAUGAUACAAGAUGAUUUUUUUUUUUUUUUUUUCUUUUUUGUGAUAUUUAAAUGUUUCAUUCAUAGUAUUAAAUAUAUACUUGCUUGUAUUGUCAAAUAAAAUUGUGUUAGUGAAUUAAAUGUGUUCUUAACACAUUGCUGCACACUUAAAAAAAAAAAAAACCAAAAUAUAAUGCUAAAAUAUAACGCUUUAUUGAUUGUGAAGUUGGCUUGGUCAGCAACAAAUAAAGCAAGCACCACAAACAUACUCUUUACAAAUACAGUAUGGCAUUAGAAUCAGAAUAGUUCUUAGUUAUUUUGAUUUUAUUUUUAUUUUUUUUUUUCAUUAUAUGUACGUAUUAACGCUGCAUACAGCAAUAUGAAGUUGAAAUAAACAAAUCUGUUCUAUUUCUGUCUUAAGCAUGACAUUAGGCACAAAGAGGCAAAGACUAGAUAAAUACUAAAUCUGUUCUUUUCCUUUUUUGUUCCUUUAGUGUCUUAAUACAUUGUAGCGACGAUUGACUGGUUUUGAUUGCCAUAUGAUGACACCAUAUGAUUUCGCACCUUAAUUUAUGUGAUCCAUCCUUAUGACAAGGCAAGACUAAUGAAUGUUCAGCCUAGAUAAUCAACAUCACUGCAAAUGUUACAGUAUUAAUGUAAUUUGAAUUCAAUCAUGUAAAACUGUUAUAUUUGUAUUCUACAAUGAAGCACUGGUGUUUUUCUAGAUACCGAGGUACGUGUUCAUUUUUCCCAGGGCAUCACAAACAGUGGUCAGGUCGCUGCGUAGAUCUUGAACCACGUUCUCGAUGCUCCUGGUGUCCUUCAAUAAAUCAAUGCUCUGGGUGUACGGGUUGUAGUAGACCGAAAAAGGCCUCUUUAUUGUUUUAGCAAAUUCCCUGUUUAGAAGGAAAAACAUAUUACAUUGACAUAUUAUGAUGACAAUGUAUGACAUUUAUUUUUAACAUUUACAGAAUGUGUAUGUGACCAAAUAUGUCUCUUUUUUACACAGAUGAAGUCUGUUAUGUUAUUAGAGUUUUGGAUUUUUGGUUUCAAUGUAAUUUUUGGAUAUAUAGCUACCUCAUUUUCUCCUUUGCUUCUUCAAAACUCUCGGAGACAAAAUAAACAUCCUGAAAUGUUGUAAUGAG